rnacentral:rRNA from 1 species
GACGAACGCUGGCGGCGUGCUUAACACAUGCAAGUCGAACGGUGAAGCGCCUUCCUUUUUGGUGGGUGUGGAUGAGUGGCGAACGGGUGAGUAACACGUGAGUAACCUGCCCCCUUCUUCUGGAUAACCGCAUGAAAGUGUGGCUAAUACGGGAUAUUCUGGGUCUGUCGCAUGAUGGGUCUGGGAAAGAUAUUGUUUCGGUGGGGGAUGGGCUCGCGGCCUAUCAGCUUGUUGGUGGGGUGAUGGCCUACCAAGGCGGUGACGGGUAGCCGGCCUGAGAGGGUGGACGGUCACACUGGGACUGAGACACGGCACAGACUCCUACGGGAGGCAGCAGUGGGGAAUAUUGCACAAUGGGCGCAAGCCUGAUGCAGCGACGCCGCGUGAGGGAUGGAGGCCUUCGGGUUGUGAACCUCUUUCGCCAGUGAAGCAGGCCUGCCUCGUUUGUGGAUGGGUUGACGGUAGCUGGAUAAGAAGCGCCGGCUAACUACGUG